ACCGACCAUCCAAGGGGACAUGACACAAGAGAUGUUAAGAAUUCCUGGCCUAGGGGCAGAGGGAGAUUCCGGAGGUGGCUUUGGAUGCAGAUGGCUUGUUCUCCAGGGGAGAGGGAUAAGGCAUGUACCAGAAAAAAGAAGGCUACAGAGUCCUCCCACCAGCUCAAUUCUCCCUUUGCCUGAAUAAAGGAAUGGGAAUAAAGAAAUGGGAGUCAAACAGGGACCAAGAAAUGCUUUGCACACUUCCUGUUUGUUUGUUUUAAAGUCUGUCCCUUAUGGCUAAAUGUGAAUCUGCAACAACAGGGGGAGGAGGAGGAAGAAGAGAUCUCAACAAAGCUAAUGUAGAAUGGUUUCCUUAGCUUUCCUUAUCUGGGUCUGGCCCUUCCUGGCUACAUCUUUCUCCAUCCACGAGGCUUCCUGUUGACAGCUCUCCACCACACCCCCCUAUUGCUACUCCUACGUUUUGUGUUUGUUUAACUAAUUCUAGCUCCCAGCAGGACACGGGAAAGAAUACACCUGAUUUAGAGGGAAAAUACCAGCUGCUGGGGCUAUUUCCAGUCCUGUAAACAGCUGUGGAACUGAACCACACCAACUGGGACCCUUGCUUGGAAGCCCUCUGUUCGUAGCUGUCUGGGUGCUUCAUGAAAUCCAAGGACACAAACUCUACCUUCUCUCUCCCCUGAAGCCCCCUGCCCCAUUUUCUUCCCUCACGCCCUGCUCUCCUAAGAAAUCAGACAGGAAGCUUCCAGUCUCCCUAGAUUCCCUCUAACC